rnacentral:siRNA from 1 species
UAUUGGUGCGUUUGGCGUUCC